rnacentral:rRNA from 1 species
CACGUAGGGGGGCGAGCGUUGUCCGGAUUUAUUGGGCGUAAAGGGCUCGUAGGCGGCUCAGUAAGUCGGGUGUGAAACCUCCAGGCUCAACCUGGAGACGCCACUCGAUACUGCUGUGGCUAGAGUCCGGUAGGGGAGCAUGGAAUUCCUGGUGUAGCGGUGAAAUGCGCAGAUAUCAGGAGGAACACCAGUGGCGAAGGCGGUGCUCUGGGCCGGAACUGACGCUGAGACGCGAAAGCGUGGGGAUCAAACAGG